rnacentral:rRNA from 1 species
UACGUAGGGACCAAGCGUUGUUCGGAUUUACUGGGCGUAAAGGGCGCGUAGGCGGCGUGUUAAGUCAGCUGUGAAAUCUCCAAGCUUAACUUGGAACGGUCAGCUGAUACUGAUGUGCUAGAGUGCAGAAGGGGCAAUCGGAAUUCUUGGUGUAGCGGUGAAAUGCGUAGAGAUCAUGAGGAAGACCAGUGGCGAAGGCGGGUCCCUGGACAGUUCCUGACACUGAGGCACGAAGGCCAGGGGAGCAAACGGG